GGAAAGGAUUUUCCUGGUGAACCGCAGACAAAAAAAUAUCUGCAGAGUUCCGUAAAUGGAGAGAGAUCACAUCUACUUUACCUCUUGCAUCAUUUAUUGAUGACCAAGCCACAUAGAAGGAACUUUGAGAUCACCUUUGUUGUUUUCCAGAGGAGAUGACAAGUGGGACAGGCUGUGCUCUGAGAAUGAUGGACUACUGGAGAGGCACAGAGCCAUGGAAGAUUUGCACCUGAAAUGGAUGUUCCAAGGCCAACCCUGUGGUCAAGCUGUGUGGUCCCAGAGAGGACACAGAGGUGGGAUAUUUUAUAACGCUGAAGUUGAUGGGACAUCAAAGCCAUCUGGACAGCUCUACAGAGGCAAGAGGUAGUACCCCACUCCAAAGAUGAAAAGACCUGGGAAAGUCCAAGCUCAAUGUCCUUCUAACAAUAGCAAUCUGCUAAAAAAAGACCCAGGCAAAGCAAACAGAGGAUGUCUCAACACUUCUGUGUCAGCCGAAACAGGAGAUAUUAAAGCUUUGUGUUCAACACAACUUCACAUGUCAAAUAGACUCUGCUGAGAUAACAACAAGGUCAUUUCAAUGAACUAGAAGAGUCAUUAAUAUCUUAGCACCAUGAUAUUUACCUAGCAAGUCGGAAGGCGAGCCUAAAGUAUGGAUUAUUUGGAACUACUUGAGCUGAAAUAGUGUCUUUUUUAUUACCUCCAUAACAGGACUUCUGCUUUGCACAGACGGCUUUGUCAGUCCCACUUUAACAGAGCUUUUCUUGCAGCUCUGCAGCAACCCAUCUGCCAGGGUUAUAAUUCUUUUGUCACAAAGGAAAUAAUGUUUCUUUCCCAGGCACAGCAAUGGAUAACUAUUUCUUAAAGCUAGCUCCUCAUUUUUAAUUACAAUAUAUUUCCGCACCUAACACCCUACAAAGGCUGCAAAAGUAAUGAAAGAUAAUGCAGUGAGUGUAAAUACACAUUAUUUAUUCAGUCUUAAGAAAAAACAAAAGUCCAAAAAGCAAACAAUGACUCUUUUAAAUAAAAAUAUAUCUUCUUCUGCAA